rnacentral:misc_RNA from 1 species
UCAAACUUGGUCAUUUAGAGGAAGUAAAAGUCGUAACAAGGUUUCCGCAUCAAGUCAUGCCGGCUGGAACACCCUUCCUUCCGCAGUGUACACUUAUCGAAGCCUUUGCAGCCACGCAAGUGGUAGGCCCAGACGACUGUAAACAAAAUUGGGACCGCAUGCAAGUCGCGCCCUUGGGGGGCGUUGGCGACACUUUUGAAUUGCGGGGAUACCCUAAAGCCAGUCGCACCAACCAACGCGGGACUCUGUGCACCUGUUGCUUUGGCGGGCCCACCGGGGUCACCUGGUCGCCGGGGGACGUCUGUCCUCGGGCCCGCGCCCGCCGACGCGCUCUGUGAACCCUGAUGAAGAUGGGCUGUCUGAGUACGAUGAAAAUUGUCAAAACUUUCAACAAUGGAUCUCUUGGUUCCGGCAUCGAUGAAGAACGCAGC